rnacentral:rRNA from 1 species
CAGCAGCCGCGGGAAAACGGAGGGGGCUAGCGUUGUUCGGAAUUACUGGGCGUAAAGCGCACGUAGGCGGCUUGGUAAGUUAGAGGUGAAAGCCCGGAGCUCAACUCCGGAAUUGCCUUUAAGACUGCCGAGCUAGCAGGUGAGAGAGGUAAGUGGAAUUCCGAGUGUAGAGGUGAAAUUCGUAGAUAUUCGGAAGAACACCAGUGGCGAAGGCGGCUUACUGGCUCAUACUGGACGCUGAGGUGCGAAAGCGUGGGGAGCAAACAGGAUUAGAUACCCGUGUAGUCCCUGUCUCUAUACA